GAACAGCCAAGACAAAAGCGAUCCAUUGUGCCUGCAAUGUGUUUCAUUAUUCUGGAGAACUAUUAACUACAACUGAAUCUUCAAGCAAAGAUAUCACGAUUUUCGCUGACCUCUGACCCACGUCGGAGGCCGCUCCUCAAUUGAGGACGGCCCUGCUGGACCAAAAAGAUUCCUGAUAAUAACUGAUCGAAUGCACUCGCAUCCUACAGAGGGUUCUCAUAAUUCCAUAAUGAAUACUGGGUACCUGAAAGGUACAAAUAUUUAAAUCCAAUUAUAGCCAAGUGCAAUUCAAAGCAUCUAUAGGAGUGUACGGUGCAAGUCUGGGGAAGAUCGAUGCAAAAUCAAGGCGGGUAUCGUGUUCACCAUGUAGAGUGUGACAGACGGACGGACGGGCGGACAAACAGACGGACAGACGGAAGGAUCAUCGUUUUUGAAUGACAAAAUAAAAAUUUAAACCCUAAUAAUAGUGUCCGGUAAAACUGAACUUGAUUUUGCAACUUUAUAAUCAGCUGAUGAUGUUAAUGAUUGUAUUAUAUAUUAAUACAAACAUUUGAAUUCCUACUUAGCAUUGGAACAGUUGCAAUGGCUCAAUAACAACACUCCACUGAAAUAAGAUGCUCAGUAUUGAUUGUGUGCAGGCAGUAGGUUUCUGCUGCUCUUUUGUUCAGGAUGACCCCAACCACAGAUAAUGCAUAAACACUGACUCACUGAAAUGUACGCUUGCGGGAAUUGAUUGAUGUAUGGUGUAAUUAUGCGGGUGAUUAGUUGCUUGUGAAAACAACGUGACAGAGCUUUUAAUAAAUGAUCCCAAAUAGAAUGAACUCCUGCAAAAUAGAUUGUAUUUUGAGACACAGCAAAUGUGCAUACUAUUAAUGGUUCCCAUGAUCAGAGCAGUAUCUUGGGGUGUUAAUAGUAGAGUGUCAAUGUAAAUUUGCUUCAAUGUUAAACUGUUGGGAAAGUCAAAUAUAGAGUUGUGGCAGGGCAGAGGAAAAGCCCUGCACAUGAAUAGAAGGGGACAGGGCAAAGCCUGCCUGUAAAUAAAUGUAUUGUAAAUAUUGUAUUGCUUGGGUUAUUGGAAAUGGGUGUAUGUAUUUUGUCUUUAUUUAAAAGCAAUGUAUUAUGAUUUAAAAGAGUGGUUUGGGUGUUUUAGUAUGAUUUAAGAAUGUAUUGUUUUGUGUUUAAAAAUAUGAUAUUUUGUGUUUGUUAUUGUGUAUGGCAGCGUGGAUGGGAGUAGAAACCCCUCCACUAAAACUCGUGCAGAAGGUGACCAUCUCCCGAUUUAAUUAAUUGUUUAAUUUGUUGCUAAGCAGGAGACGGUCACCAAUAUAAAAGCCUGCAGUGCCCUGUGUUCCAAAGAGGAGGAACGUGUGUGCGAGAGCGGAGGAUUAAAAGAAGAACUCAAAAGUAAAAGUAAACAGUUACUACGCCUGCUGGAAGCACCAGCACAGUAUUUAUUUGGAUUUUGUGUUUGAGAUUUGGUUUUGUUUCAGCCUUUUAUUUUGCUCUGUGAGCAGUGUUUUUGUUAAACUAUUUUAUUUAUUUUUGUUUAAAUAAACA